CCGCACCGCAUCUAACACAGGAAGGAGACAGAACGUGUUAACUUUCCACACUUCUUCACAUCUUUCUCUGUGCUGCACGCCUCUCUGACUGACACCCAGCAGCAAUUUCAGCAUUUGUCUUGCAGCUAGAACAUUUCAUCUGUUCCUUCACCUCUCUUACUGUCCAAAGAAUAUAUCAAAGCAGUACCCGGCAAGGCACCAUUUCUGGGACUUUCUUUGAGUGUUUCCAGAGGGAGGCAUCUGAACCAGCAGAGAAUGUAGUGAAUCAGCUUCAGUGCGCUAUCCAGUCACACAUGCCCAUGGAGAACAAAAAGGUUGCCUUGGUCAUUACGUCUCUUCACAGCAACAGAAGAGUUACUAAAACCUGCCCAGUGGUCUUCCAGAGUCUUGGGUCUUUAGCUUCAGAAUGAAGAUCAUAUUUCAGCUGUUUCCCUGGUUCUCUAUCUUCUAUGAAAUUUAUUGUGGUUAUUCCUUUAAAAUGUGAUGACCGAUCUGGGCGGUGGUGGUGCAUGCCUUUAAUCCCAGCACUUGGGAGGCAGAGGCAGGAGAAUCUCUGUGAGUUUGAGGCCAGCCUGGGCUACAUAGUGAGUUCCAGGAAAGGCGCAAAGCUACACAGAGAAACCUUGUCUCAAAAAACCAAAAAAUAAAAAUAAAAUAAACAAAAUGUGAGGGCCAAUUCCCAUCAUUAAUUUUUGUUCAUCUAUUUAUUUUCUAUUCACAUAUCUCUAUUAGUAAGACUUUAGCUAAUGUAAUAUACAUGGAAAUCAACUUAUAAAAAGGAAUUUGGGCUCACAAUUUUGGUCAAUGACCAAUUAUUAGCCCCCUUGCUUUGGUACUUUGGUGGCCCAGAUUCCAUAGUGGAAGUUGAUAGAAGAGAAAAUGUGUUUAUCUUAUGGUAACUAGACAGUGAAAGAGAAAGACACCUGUGUCUCACAAUCCCCUUCAAAGGAAUGUCCCCAGUGACCUUAAAUUGGGCCCUAUAUUAUAAAGGUCUCUACCAUCCAAUAGGGUAAACUGAAAACCAGUUAACAAACUUUAACAAAUUGCACUUGACAAUUUAACAAAUUUCAAAUUGCAUUUGAAAGGCAUUCCAGAACUAAGCUGUAGCACUGUGUCUUUAUCCAUAUCCAUCUGUCUGUCUACCUAUCUUCUUCUAUCUCCUAU